rnacentral:rRNA from 1 species
AUUGAACGCUGGCGGCAUGCCUUACACAUGCAAGUCGAACGGCAGCACGGGUGCUUGCACCUGGUGGCGAGUGGCGAACGGGUGAGUAAUACAUGGGAACAUGCCCUUGGAUGGGGAAUAACGUUUGGAAACGAACGCUAAUACCGCAUAAUCUCGCGAGAGUAAAGGUGGCGCCGCAAGGGCUACCGUCCAAGGAUUGGCCCAUGUCCCAUUAGCUAGUUGGCGGGGUAAUGGCCCACCAAGGCAACGAUGGGUAACUGGUCUGAGAGGAUGAUCAGUCACGCUGGAACUGAGACACGGUCCAGACUCCUACGGGAGGCAGCAGUAGGGAAUAUUGCACAAUGGGGGAAACCCUGAUGCAGCAACGCCGCGUGAGUGAAGAAGGCCCUUGGGUUGUAAAGCUCUUUAGCGUGGGAAGAAGGUAGAUAUGGUGAAUAAUCAUGUUUGCUGACGGUACCACGAGAAUAAGCACCGGCUAAUUUCGUGCCAGCCGCCGCCGUAA